rnacentral:rRNA from 1 species
UACGAAGGGGGCUAGCGUUGCUCGGAUUGACUGGGCGUAAAGGGCGCGUAGGCGGAUAGUACAGUCAGGCGUGAAAUUCCUGGGCUCAACCUGGGGGCUGCGUUUGAUACGUAUUGUCUGGAGUUCGGAAGAGGGUCGUGGAGUUCCCAGUGUAGAGGUGAAAUUCGUAGAUAUUGGGAAGAACACCGGUGGCGAAGGCGGCGACCUGGUCCGAUACUGACGCUGAGGCGCGAAAGCGUGGGGAGCAAACAGG